rnacentral:lncRNA from 1 species
AGGCAUGUGUUCCAUUCUCUUAUCUAUCCUUGCAAAAUCUCACACCUGUGUCGACCUUUGCAUCUUUGGCGGUGCACUAUAUACAUGGCAUUAUUGGCGUGAAGCUCGCCGACCUUGACCUACCAUGGAUGGAUCUAAUGUUGAAAGAGCUUAGCAGUGAUGGCGACCUUUGGAGGAGCUCUAGAAAGCUCAAUGUCGGUAGGAUAUGAGCCUUUAACAACUAAACUUGGGAAAAGUACAUAUUCGAUGAAGGCAUCG